rnacentral:rRNA from 1 species
UACGGAGGGUGCAAGCGUUGUUCGGAAUCACUGGGCGUAAAGCGCGUGUAGGCGGCCUUCUCAGUCUGGUGUGAAAGCCCGGGGCUCACCCCCGGAAGUGCAUUGGAUACUGGAAGGCUUGAAUCCGGGAGAGGGAUGCGGAAUUCCAGGUGUAGCGGUGAAAUGCGUAGAUAUCUGGAGGAACACCGGUGGCGAAGGCGGCAUCCUGGACCGGUAUUGACGCUGAGGCGCGAAAGCCAGGGGAGCAAACGGG